AAGUUUGGUCAUUUAAUUUUGUUAAUUGGAUAGUUAAUCAAGCUACAAUGACUAAAUUUUAAAAAUGGUAAAAGUUAAUCGCUAUAGAUUUUCAAUUGCUAAAUGAAUAAAAUAGUAAUUGUAAUAGGCCAAUUUUGGCCUAGCUAAAAAACCAAAAACGAGCCCAAUUAUACUAACAACCCAAGAUACAUAUGGCCCAAAAUGAUCCAAGCCCAAAUCUAGCCUAACCCAAUUAACCUAAACAUUAAACAGAAUAAAAAACCCUAAACUUUCCUUGCGCCGCGCACACCCCACGUUAUGGUAGCCAUUUGCACGUUCUCCGCUCACGCACGCACGCACGCAUCUGCAAAUCACAAACAAUAUCAGUUGUAUAUACACACGAAAUUUGAAAAGAAAAGGGGGGGGAUUUGGCUAUAAAAAGGCCAAUCAAUCUCUGUAAGGGGGGUUAGAAAUUUUUGGUACUGAAAUAAAAAGAGAAAGAAAUAGAAAAGAAAGUUUUUGGAAGGUGAUUUUCUUCAUUUUUUGCUUUCUCUGUUAUUUUUUUCGUUUUUUUUUUGGGUGCGCAAAACAGAAAUAAGGAGGAGAAGAGAAGGUACUUACCAGUGGUGGCAUGCCGUCGAUGCCGUCCGAAUCGGAGUUGAAAAGGGAAGGAUUUCGGUGAGUAGCAGAAGGGAAGGAAGCAGGCCUUGCAGCUGCUGUUGCUGAAAACAGAAUAGGCUUUUAAUUUGAGAUUGAAAAGGAUUUUAAGCACUAAUGGGAUAUUUACGUUUUCAAUCCUUCUACUUUAUCCCAUCUUUUCAAAAUCAUUAUUGUUUGUUUUCAAGUUUUUCCAUAAAAUGUUGAAUUUGUUUUAUUAAAUCCUUAAUCUUU
rnacentral:lncRNA from 1 species